AGUGAAUAGCAUGGAUGCAUUUAAGGGAAAGCCACAGAAACAGAUGAAGAAAAUAUUUACAACGGUGAGAAAAGAUGGGAGCAAUCAAGAGUGGAACAUAAAUUCUGUUUCUAUCCCAAUUAAUCCAAGAGAAAACUUGCCAGGAUACAUUUUCCUUGAUGACCUGAAGAGGGCAGCGCGCCAUUUCCCUCCCACACUUUGAGCAGCUUGCAAUGCAAAAUAGUGUCAACAUUAAGGGGCAAGGACAACUCUGACUAACAGCAGGCAGCAUUUGUCACCCUACCACAUCAAAUCCUGGGUCAUGAAUGUUUUAGUAUUGAAAUCUUACUUUUUUUUCUUGUUAUGUAAAGAGUAAACAAAAGAAUCAACAAUGGGUGAGUAUAUUGGUUAAUCUGGUCAUGAGAGAGAUGUGCCUGUUUCUAUCAUGACUUCAUUAUUUGAUAUUCUCAAUUGAUUAGAAUAUCUAACAUGGUGAAAGCAGUUCUAGAACU